rnacentral:rRNA from 1 species
CGGACGGGUGAGUAAUGUCUGGGAAACUGCCUGAUGGAGGGGGAUAACUACUGGAAACGGUAGCUAAUACCGCAUAACGUCGCAAGACCAAAGAGGGGGACCUUAGGGCCUCUUGCCAUCGGAUGUGCCCAGAUGGGAUUAGCUAGUAGGUGGGGUAACGGCUCACCUAGGCGACGAUCCCUAGCUGGUCUGAGAGGAUGACCAGCCGCACUGGAACUGAGACACGGUCCAG